UUUGCUAAAUUUCUGGGUUUGUUUUGGCUCAAGGACAUGGAUGUGCUGCCAUGCAAGCUGUUCAACACGAGGAUUCAACAUUGGGAGAUUACUUAGAAAUUUCCAAUUUCUGAACUUGGAGGGUAGACCUGUAGAUCAUUCAGCUGAACUGCACCGGUUACUCAGCUAACACAAGCCACAAAACUUCAGUUCACUGGGAUCUGACCUACUCUGAAUAACACGUUUUGAUCCAGCAUAAGCUAAGACAACUUCAAUAAGACCAGAGGAUUCUCAAGGCAUCCAGAAGCAGCCCACAGGAAUUCCGCGAGCGGAGCUGAAUGAAGCCAUGGAAAUGAGUCAGGAUUUCAUGAACCUCCUGGAUGGGUGUGAGGAGCGAAAGCCAAGUUGCUGUUAACUGUCAGCUAAGGAAAUAUCUCUAAGAGAAUUGCAUUUUCUGAA